ACAGACGUCACGUAUUACUAUAUGAAUGCGCGGUUUACGUAUGGACUCUCGUGGGCCGGAGUAUAGACAUUUCACAUUUAUCAGAUAUUGAUGUAUCACCUAUGUGAAAUAGAUGAAGAGUCAGAAGAAAUUGCUUCACGAGACAAAUUUAUUAAAUUUUAAAUUCCCAUAUCGGUUUUUAUUCCAUACUUUGACUCUUUUAUAAGUCAAUUAAAAUCAAGAUUUCUUAAUUAUACUGAUAUUUUGUCAAGUUUUCACUCUCUUUUCGACGAGAAUUCUACAAAAGUAGAAUUAAAAAAAUUAGUUGAAUUUUAUGAAGAAGAUUUAAAUGGUAAUACAGUAAAACUUCCGUUAACGGUCACCUCUAUAGGACGGUCACCUCUAUGUAACGGUCAAUUUGUUUGGUCCCGUCGAGUGUUAUGGGAAAAAUACAUUAAUACUUCUAAAUAGCGGGCACUCUAAUUAAUGGUCAACAUUUAAAAGUAUAUCAAAUGGAAAAUUAUUAUUUCGAAAUUAUUUUUGACAGUUUAUCUUAACGAGCUUAAUUUUUAUGAUGUCGAUAAGGCGAUAACACUUGUCCGUGACUGUGUAUUUUGUCAUUUGUGUUCAGUGUAUGUUUAAAACGUUUCGAAGUACGUACCUACCUAUAAUUUCAAUGGCGUCCAAACGAAAACAUCUAACUUUAACAGAAAAAAUAAAAUUGUUAGAUUUUUACCAAAAAGAAAAUGUGAGUGCACGUACUCUUGCAGAUAAAUUUGGAAUAGGAAGAACUCAAGCCACCGACUUAAUAAAAAACAGAGAAACGAUUUUAAAAUUAUGGAAAUCCCACGGUAAUAAUCAAAUGAAAACUACAAAACGUCGUAAAACCGAAUCAGGCAAUAUCAACGAAGUUGUAUACGAAUGGUUUUGUGCAGCUCGUCCUAAAAAUAUUCCAAUCAGUGGACCAAUACUUAAAGAAAAGGCUUUACAACGGUCACCAGGAAGAUCUUGAACUUCUGUUAGCGGUCACCUCUGUAGGACGGGCACAUCUAAAUAGCGGUCAUUAUUUACAGUCCCUUCAGUGACCGCUAUAUGGAAGUUCUACUGUAGUUAAAUAAUAGAAGAGUUCCAACCGUGGCAAAGGAAACUUAAAAAAUUGGAAAUAAAACCAAAAAAUUAAAUUGAUGCACUGAAGUUGUGUAAUGCAGACAUAUAUUCAGGAGUUAAUAAGUUAUUUCAAAUUUUGUCUACACUUCCUAUAUCUACGGCUUCUAACGAACGGACUUUUUCAUCACUAAAAAGAAUUAAAACAUAUUUACGAAAUACAAUAUCUGAGAAAAGACUAAAUGGAUUGGCCAUAUUAAACAUUCACAGGGAAGUUGAAAUUACUGUUGAUGAAGUGAUAGAGGAGUUGGCAAAACAAUCGAGACGGCUUGAAUUUAUAUUAAAACAAUACCUACUUCAUAUGUAGUGCUAAAUACAAUAUAUAAAUAUAUUAUUACAUAAUACUAUACGAUUAUAUAUUUAGUUCAAUUUCCUCCAAAAACUGCAUAAGGACGUAACUAUUACAAGGUAUUAUCAUAGUUUAUAUUAAUUGUGUAGGUACCUAUAAACUUAGGACCCCCCCCCCUCAGAAAAAUUUGAAAAUACGCCACUGUUUAGUUGGAAACUAAUAAAAAAAGAAUUGUCAUCCGAAUUGGAUCAAAUACCUUAUAAUUUAUCUGUUUAAACGAAUUUUUCAUUUAAUUAAUUGCCAUCAUAAAAGCUCAUAAAAAAAUGAUAGGGACAGUGUGAUAUCAUACCUAAUAGUUAUUAUGAUAUCAUUCA